rnacentral:tRNA from 1 species
GAGGUUGUGGCUCAGUGGUAGAGCGCUUUGCCUAACGUGUGAGGCCCUGGGUUUGAUCCUCAGCACCACA